AUUGAACGCUGGCGGCAUGCCUUACACAUGCAAGUCGAACGGUAACAGGCCGCAAGGUGCUGACGAGUGGCGAACGGGUGAGCAAUGCAUCGGAACGUGCCCAGUCGUGGGGGAUAACUGCUCGAAAGAGCAGCUAAUACCGCAUACGACCUGAGGGUGAAAGCGGGGGACCGAAAGGCCUCGCGCGAUUGGAGCGGCCGAUGUCAGAUUAGGUAGUUGGUGGGGUAAAGGCCUACCAAGCCGACGAUCUGUAGUUGGUCUGAGAGGACGACCAGCCACACUGGGACUGAGACGCGGCCCAGACUCCUACGGGAGGCAGCAGUGGGGAAUUUUGGACAAUGGGGGCAACCCUGAUCCAGCAAUGCCGCGUGCAGGAAGAAGGCCUUCGGGUUGUAAACUGCUUUUGUCAGGGAAGAAAUCCUGUGGGUUAAUACCUCGUGGGGAUGACGGUACCUGAAGAAUAAGCACCGGCUAACUACGUGCCAGCCGCCGCCGUAACAC
rnacentral:rRNA from 1 species